rnacentral:rRNA from 1 species
CCCUUAGAUGUUCUGGGCCGCACGCGUGCUACACUGAGUGGAUCAGCGGGUCAGGUUGCGCGAAAGCGUUUCCUAAUCUUUAAAUCCGCUCGUGAUGGGGAUUGACGGUUGCAAUUUUCUGUCAUGAACGAGGAAUACCUUGUAAGCGCGGGUCAUCAUCCCGCGCUGAAUACGUCCCUGCCCUUUGUACACACCGCCCGUCGCUCCUACCGAUUGAGUGGUCCGGUGAGGCUUUGGGAUCUGAGCGGAAAGAGCUUUUCGCUGUUUCUGCUCGGAAAACUCAGUCGAACCUUAUCAUUUAGAGGAAGGAGAAGUCGUAACA